rnacentral:rRNA from 1 species
CGAUUGGAUUGCACGUCUAAGCAGUAAGGCUGAGUAUUAGGCAAAUCCGGUACUCGUUAAGGCUGAGCUGUGAUGGGGAGAAGACAUUGUGUCUUCGAGUCGUUGAUUUCACACUGCCGAGAAAAGCCUCUAGAUAGAAAAUAGGUGCCCGUACCGCAAACCGACACAGGUAGUCAAGAUGAGAAUUCUAAGGUGAGCGAGCGAACUCUCGUUAAGGAACUCGGCAAAAUGACCCCGUAACUUCGGGAGAAGGGGUGCUCUUUAGGGUUAACGCCCAGAAGAGCCGCAGUGAAUAGGCCCAAGCGACUGUUUAUCAAAAACACAGGUCUCUGCUAAACCGUAAGGUGAUGUAUAGGGGCUGACGCCUGCCCGGUGCUGGAAG